AAGGAAACCAGCCCGGUCACUGCCCCGGCCGGUGGUUUAGGUUUCCCGGCAUCACCUCCCUCCCCACCUUCGGGACACGCUCACCCUUCCUUCCACGAGUGAAGUAUGUCGCAGCCACAUCCAGAUUAUCCCAAAUGCAGCUGAGAUCCACUGUGGAAGACAGCAGGGUAUGACCUCAAUCACCGCAGCAGUGCUGUGGUUCUGGGGAGAGAUCCCAGUCCCACCAGGAUAAGAAGGUCGAGUUCAGAAAGAAAACUUUAUCAAAAGCUCAAGAGCUCAAUAGUGGGACCAUAAGACGUAUCAGACAAAGUAACCUCAAACCUGAAGGAGGGUCCUAGCAGAAGUAUUCUUACCCCCACGGGGCUUCCAAUCUCCCAGGUGAAGGCAGUGAAAGCAUGAAGAAAGAACCUGUUCAUUAGGACAUGCAAAAAGGAAGCCAGUAGAACUGCAAACUCCUCUAUAAAUCAACAAUCUGAGAAUACUUUACGCAAGACCCUAAAAUUGAAUCUAAAAUUAAAAUCUUCCUUUUAAACCUUCACUUUCCCUUAACUUCCUAUAAUUAGAGUUUGGUGGUUCGAAGCAAUGAAGAAGGAGCAGAGUAUUUUCUCCACUCCAGACUUCGCUGUAGGCCAGAUCACAGAUGAUGGGAAAUGUUCUUCCCCUCCCAAGCACUGAGAUGGGACAAGUUCUCCCCAUCUCAUGCACCAAGCAGCAUAAAAGGGGAGGAGUGCUAGGUCUAGGUCUCCAGCUCAGUAGCAGAACAUGUUCAUCUCAAUCUUUUUUCCCUGAAAGCUAUUUUUAAACUAGUCUAUAGGUAGCUUCUCUUUUAUUUGAUACUUAAUUAGUUCCAAUUAAAACAGACUACAUUUAUGUAGUAUACACUGAAGUAUGAAUGGUGCUCAUCAAAAUACAGUAAAUAAUUAAAAAAUUGCACUUACACUGAAAUACAUGUGAAUAUAUCUCCUUAAGACUUCCAAAGGGAUUUGGGUUAUGAAUCACAAACAUUCCCCUCAGCAUUAGAAUCUUAUGAGUCAGAAAGAUAGUCAUCAUUAAUCACUUCUCGAGCAUUUUUAACAAGGUGGUUCCUGCUUGCUGCAUGUUUUCAUUCACAUCAGUCAUUUACAUAGCAUAAAAGGUGUGCCUAGCACUUUAGAGACAAUUAACACAAAAAUACUUGCUUUGUAGUGUUUACAGCUCUAGUAAGAUCAUACAAAACAAGAAAAGAUUCCCUUUGUGAAUGAAAGAACAGGAAUUGUAACUAUGGCAAAGUAGCAAGCCUUUUCCAUGGUGUGGGAUAUUCCUGCAUUUCUGUAUUAUUCUUACUACUCACAAUUUUAAGUAGGAAUGUAUUUACAAAAUUCCCUUAAGACUUCGACAUUAUUGUAACCAUGAAAGUAUUUUAUGCCAUCCCCUUUCUCAAAGGAAUAAAAAUCACUGUUAGACUGCUUUGGGGAUGGGGGAAGGCACCCAAUUCUCCACCAAACACUUACACUACUUGCAGCAACAUGUCUUUUAAGAAACAGUAACAGAGGUGCCAGCAUUGCUGCAACCUGAGUGGCUACUUAAGACAAAAAAACAUCUGGAAAAGAAACACAUUUUCCACUCUUAAAAAAAAAAAGUGAGAGAAAGAUAAGAUACCUAUUCCAUGACUGCCACUUAGUUCAAUACAUUUAAGAAAACAAUAAGGAAGAUUUAUUUUUUUCUUCCCAGCACAGUUUGUCAGUCAUCUUCUGAUCCCCACCUAUACUUUGGAAAAAUCCUCAUAAUACAACUACCUCUGCACUCCAUGGAAAGACAGUAUAUCCUCACACAUAUUUUUGCAGGACUU